UACGAAGGGUGCUAGCGUUGUUCGGAAUCACUGGGCGUAAAGCGCGCGUAGGCGGCGUGACAAGUCAGAGGUGAAAGCCUGGAGCUUAACUCCAGAACUGCCUUUGAAACUGUCAUGCUUGAGUGUCGGAGGGGAUAGCGGAAUUGCUAAUGUAGAGGUGAAAUUCGUAGAUAUUAGCAGGAACACCGGUGGCGAAGGCGGCUAUCUGGACGACAACUGACGCUGAGGCGCGAAAGCGUGGGGAUCAAACAGG
rnacentral:rRNA from 1 species